rnacentral:rRNA from 1 species
ACGCUCGACACCGGAGGCAGCAGUCGGGAAUAUUGCGCAAUGGAGGAAACUCUGACGCAGUGACGCCGCGUAUAGGAAGAAGGUUUUCGGAUUGUAAACUAUUGUCGUUAGGGAAGAGAAAGGACAGUACCUAAGGAGGAAGCUCCGGCUAACUACGUGACAGCAGCCGCGGUAAUCUGAGCGGGCUGGCAAGGC